UCAACAAAACAACGUUAUCAACAACAACAUCAACCACACGUACAACAUCAGCAACUCGCUACAACAACAACAACAACAAAGAAUAUAACAACAUCAGCAGCGAAUCCGGCGAAACCCGCGAACCCAGCCGACCCGUUUAAUAACCCAGUAGUAAUAACGUCCCUUUCAACAAAAGUAAAGCAAUGAACAAGUCAACAACUCCGGCUCAUCCCAACGAAUUAAUUCAGAUUUUCCUCAAAAUCGUUCGAUCAGAGUCAACGCGGGCAGUCAAGAUUAAUUCAUGUUUGAAUUUCAAAUUUUUCAUCCUCAAUUUCUUAUUUGUUUCACCCUAAAACAACCCCAUAAUUCACUAUAAAUACGGUACUAUGUAGAGAGAAAGAAGGAGGAUUUUGGGGAAAAAAUUUGAGGAUUUGGGAGUAGCAUGCUUUUAAUCCCACACAACCAAAAAUCCUAGAAGAAACAGACUCAAAAACUUGAUUCUAACGAAAAAAAAUUGAACUCCGAAGGAUCGAAAUUCAAACUUCGGUGGUGAAAAUCCGUCGCCAAGGUUCGUUGUCGAGUUCACUGCCCGAAAAAAGGUGAACCCCCUCUCUUUCGACUUUCAUCACUAUUUGUUUCAUAGCUUUUUUUAGUAUAAUAUAGUUAUUAUGCAGUUGUUGCUGUAGAAAUUUAGGAUUUUACUGUGUUAUUUUGACAAAAUUCAACCUCACUUUAUUUGAAAACAAAAUGGUAUAAAUUGAUAUUUUAUAAAUUAAAUUUAGUGAAAGAGUCCUAUGGAAAUUGCUCAGGUCACUGUUUAGUUAUUAGAAUUAUGAUUUUGUUUAAUUUGUGUUGAUAAUUCGAAGGGUGCGCGUAAAUUUUUUAGCGAAUUUUGUUAGGGUGAAAAUUGGAGGUUCUUGUAAUGGUUUAUUGUGUUUGUGAAUUCUGUUAACUAUUGUGAAAAGUUGGAAGUUCUUGUAAUGGUUUAUUGUGUUUGAGUAGUGAACCAAGGGUGAAAUUGGAAGUUUUUGUAAUGGUUUAUUGUGUUUGUGAAUUCUAUUGAGUAUUGUGAAAAGUUGGAAUUUCUUGUAAUGGUUUAUUGUGUUUGAGCAGUGAACCAAGGGUGAAAAUUGGAGGUUCUUGUAAUGAUUUAUUGUGUUUGUGAAUUCUGUUAAGUAUAAAGUGAAAAUUGGAGGUUCUUGUAAUGGUUUAUUGUGUUUGAGUAGUGUAACUGGUAAGGGUGUUUAUUAUAUUUGUAAUAUGUUAACUCGAGAAUAUAAAUUGCUCCUUAGAAGUAAGGAAAAGAAUUUAGUUUUAGGAUAUACAGAAAACAAAGAAUUCAUGCUAUUUUUGUCUGAAUAUAUGUAAUAAUUGUUAUUUGAGAAUCAUGUUCACUUGCUUAGGUUUAUUUUGUACAUUUUUAUACCUCCACCCUCAUACUAUUAUUUUGAUGAAUGCUGUGAGUUUAAUAACAUAUACUAAUCUUUAUCAUUCUUUAAUUACAUUAGAAUAGAUUUCUUUCUCUUAACAAUUUUAGAGGUCUUUCUACAGUUAUCGGGCAGGUAUGUUUUAAAUGUGUGAGAUCAUGUUAACAUUAUUUACAUAGGCAAUCUUGCAUUCUGUUAACUUCCUACGUACUAAAGUGAUUAUUAUCCAUCUAAAUACUAGUUUUAUUUUUGUUUAUUUGGCAUGUGAAAUUCAUUUAAGUCCAUUGGACUCCAUUUUUCGCAUUUCCGAAUGCUCCAAAGAGGCCUACAUCAUCUUAGAUUCAAAAGCCGCAACAAAUGUCCGAAAUGGACUAAUGCAUGAAGAAAAUGGAUUAAUAUAGCUGUUGGUAUACACUGAUAUACGCAUAUAUACGGGUCGUACCGGUCAAGAGCGGCUGGUGUAUGCUUAUGCGUGGUGCAUAACAAAGAUGGAAGCAAGUAUAUGGAUUUAUACACUGAUAUACUGCAUAUAUACAGUAAAACGUAGCAAGGCAAAGCUGUGAUAUACAAUUGGUAUACAUGGAUAAAAAUGGACUGAAGUCCAUGAAUUAAAGCCCAAAAGCUGGACAACUUUAUUGAUGGGCUAAUUUAGGGCCCAAUUUUAAUUCUUAUAUUAUUUUUUGGGUAACUUACAUAAAUUCCUGAAUCUAUAAGUGAUAUUAUAUAAAAUCUCGACUAUUUUGUUA
rnacentral:lncRNA from 1 species